UUUCUAUAUAAUACUGUAUCUGAAAGAGCAGAUUCUGUAGGUAAAACAUUGUGUUUCUAUAUAGUACUGUAUCUGAAAGAGCAGAUUCUGCAGGUAAAACAUUGUGUUUCUAUAUAAUACUGUAUCUGAAAGAGCAGAUUCUACAGGUUCCGUGACACGUACCUUUAUCAAAUAACUCUCAACAUUCAGGAGGUGCAGCUCUAUUUCCAAAGUUCACUUUUUCUUCAACAACAUCCGUGUUGUCCAUGUAUUUAUCACAGGACCACUCCAGCAGCAGCAUUGAUCUGGCAACUAAGCAAAAACUAGUAACACACUCAAAUUAAAAUCUGCUAUUCUGUCGUCAAUGGAUGAACGGACAAUAGAAACCAGAUAGAAACUGA